AUUGAACGCUGGCGGCAGGCCUAACACAUGCAAGUCGAACGGUAGCACAGAGAGCUUGCUCUCGGGUGACGAGUGGCGGACGGGUGAGUAACGUCUGGGAAACUGCCCGAUGGAGGGAGAUAACUACUGGAAACGGUAGCUAAUACCGCAUAACGUCGCAAGACCAAAGUGGGGGACCUUCGGGCCUCACACCAUCGGAUGUGCCCAGAUGGGAUUAGCUAGUAGGUGGGGUAAUGGCUCACCUAGGCGACGAUCCCUAGCUGGUCUGAGAGGAUGACCAGCCACACUGGAACUGAGACACGGUCCAGACUCCUACGGGAGGCAGCAGUGGGGAACAUUGCACAAUGGGCGCAAGCCUGAUGCAGCCAUGCCGCGUGUACGAAGAAGGCCUUCGGGUUGUAAAGUACUUUCAGCGGGGAGGAAGGCGGUGAAGUUAAUAACUUCACCGAUUGACGUUACCCGCAGAAGAAGCACCGGCUAACUCCGUGCCAGCAGCCGCCGUAA
rnacentral:rRNA from 1 species